CUCACAUACAUCUAUUUCUGCCUGUCACAGCUGAAAUAACAUUUUGUAAAAUGAACUGCAAUAAAACGAUAUAGAAGAAAAUAUAAUGAUAGUUAAUGGCUGCAGGUACAACAAAAGACCUCCUCAAAUCUUUACCGAAUAUGGAGUUCCUUUAUGGAGAAACACCAUCUUACAUAAGCAGAGUGUUUGCCAAGGAAGUCCAACCUACCAAUGAUCUUGUGGAACACCUGUAUUUGGGACCUUCCAGAGAAAGAACUGGGAAAUUUGAGCAGGAGCAGGGAAGUCAGCUCUAAGAGCCAGCAGAGCAAGGACAGCAACAGGCACACGGGGAUGGCCAGAAUGGCCCCAUCCUGCUGUGAGCAGGAGGAAAAACUGAUUUCUAGAGAUACGAUGUACUGAACAUCUACGGUGAGCCAAGUAAUUUAUAUGUAUUUUCGCCUCACACAGUCCUGUUGGGUGUUGAAGACAAUGUUGCCAAAAGCCAGUUUGUUUUCCAGAAUUAACGGCAGUGGAUGCCUGCCAGGGGCUGAGUUGGGACAUUAGCCGGAGCGGCCACAGGUUUGCUUUCACAUUUGUCCAGACAUGGAGGAGGCUGAAGUGAUGUUAUCUUUGAGACUAACAACCGAAUCUGUGCUAUCAACGUUGAUUCAAACACCCAAAUCUAAUUCUUGGUGUGAGAGAUACAGAGCAAGGGAAAGGAGGAGAAAUGUCCUAAUAAAAGAAAGGGCGCAGUGCGAAUCCCGUUUCUUAGAAA